UUUACCCCCCCCCCCCCCCCGCCCCCAAUCCCAUGAUGCUCUGAUAACGCCCACAUGCACCCCUGAUGCCACCAUGCACCUGGAUCCAACCAUUCCAAGCAGUCGUAUUAGAACGCGACGUGGUUGCUAAUCUGGCACCAGACAUGCAAGAUACGUUCUUUAAAUCGUCUUGGGCUGUACGUUAGCUUCACUGGGGACUAAAUUGUCUUUGGUGUUACCAAAAAUAUGCCAAUGUGCCAAUCGCAGGGCACAUAUAAACACACAUUCACACCUACGGGCAGUUUAGAGCCUUCAAUCAACCUACCAUGCAUUGUUUUUGGGAUGUGGGAGGAAACCGGAGUGCCCGGAGAAAACCCACACAAACACAGAGAGAACAUGCAAACUCCACACAGGCAGGGCCGCGAUUUGAACCCCGGUCCUCAGAACUGUGAGGCAGACACGCUAACCAGUCGCCCACCGUGCCGCCAAGUUUGGUUCCUUAAUGAUGAAAUGGUCAUUGACGCUUAUGAAAACCGGCAGGCUUGACUUGUUCCACCUGGCAGAAGGCUUUUACGCUAGCUGACUGAACCGAAGCGCAUCACUUCCUGCGUCACUUCCUGUCUUGACUUCCUACAACACUGAGCCUCUUCGCUCCCCAACAUUCAGCAUGAAGCCACAAGAUCGCCUCAUUAUCUUUGCGGCCAACGUGGUCUGGAUGACGGGUACGGCUCCUCGUCGCCAAUUUGAUAAAGUUUGGUUUUUUUUUGGGGGGGGGGGGGGUGGUGACUUAAUUGCGUGUCUUUUCAGGGGUCCGGCUGAGCGAAGACAUGAGGGUCUUCCAAACCCCCCGCGACAUUUUCAGGAGAGCGGACGACGACGACGUCAUACUGAAUUUCACGCACGCGCUCGCCAACCACGACACCAUCCAUUGGUACAGACGGGUGCCCGGCGGCACCCGAGCUCUGGAGCUGUUGGCGUUGGUCAACUACAAGAAGGCUUUGGUGGAGCCGCCCUUCAGGGGCCGCGUCGACGUGAGCGGCGACGGCAGGGGGGCGGCGCACCUCCGCAUCCUCCGGCCUGACGACGGCGGCCAUUUUCUUGCCGCCGCCAGGAAGGGACAGGUACACGUCUGCUUCUCAGCCGUUCUUUGGCGCAGGAACGAGGUUGACAGUAUUAGGUAAGCUAUGGGAAAAAAGCAAUGUCAGGAAAAGUCGUUUCAUAUGAGAAUCGUGGCUUGUUUCGCGAACCAGACAGAUGCACUGUGACUCUGCUAAUGUAGCUUUCUUUGGCGGAGGAACAAAGUUAUCAGUUCUAGAUCCAAACGUCAAAAUCACGCCGCCCACGGUGAAGUUGUUCCCGCCGUCGGAUGGCGAGUGCACAAAUCAGAAGGACAAGGAGGCCAAGAAGAAGACGCUGGUGUGCGCGGCCACCGACUUCUACCCCGACCACGUGGGCGUGGCCUGGAUGGUGGACAGCCAGAAGCGUGACAAGGGCGUGGCCACGGACUCCGAGGCCCUGCGGCGAGGGCUCGGCUACAGCAUCACUAGCAGGCUGAGGGUCCCGGCAUCCGAGUGGUUGCACGGGAGCAGGAACUUCACCUGCGUCCUGACCUUUUUCGAUGGGACGAGCUAUAGCGACUACGCAGAGUCGAUCAGCGGCAAAGAUGACUCAGCUGGAGAAGGACUUACCCGAGAGAGCUUCUUGAGGAUGACGCAGAGCGCCAAGCUGUCGUACGCCGUCCUCAUUGCCAAGAGCUGCGUCUACGCCGCCUUCGUGGCCUUCCUGCUGUGGCGGUUCAGGGCGUCGCCUGGAAAAAACAACUGAAGGAAGAACGUCUUUACUGCUUUCAUUUUUUUCGUUGUUGUUAUUUAUUCACUUUGUUCAAUAAAAGUAUAUUUCAAUAACAACAACAA